UACGAAGGGGGCUAGCGUUGCUCGGAAUCACUGGGCGUAAAGGGUGCGUAGGCGGGUCUUUAAGUCAGGGGUGAAAUCCUGGAGCUCAACUCCAGAACUGCCUUUGAUACUGAGGAUCUUGAGUUCGGGAGAGGUGAGUGGAACUGCGAGUGUAGAGGUGAAAUUCGUAGAUAUUCGCAAGAACACCAGUGGCGAAGGCGGCUCACUGGCCCGAUCCUGACGCUGAGGCACGAAAGCGUGGGGAGCAAACAGG
rnacentral:rRNA from 1 species